GACUAUCUUUGGCGCGUCUGCUAAAUAGGUUAAUAACCCUCUGAUGCUGAGUGAGCUUCUCUUUCAUUAUGACCAGGGGCGGACUUACCAUAGACAGCACCAGGACAUUUCACGUUGACCUAAUGGUCAAUCUGGAGUGCCACCGUGAAUCUGGACCAAUCGCCCACCACCAAGCGUAAAAGGCAGUCCAUUGAGUCCUGAGUGUCUUCUGGAUGGACCUGAUUGGGGUCAGCAGAUCCUCCACUGUGAACAUCUGGAGGGCCCUGAUCCGCAUCAGCAGAUCCUCCACUGGGAACAUAUGGAGGAACCUGAUCCACACUGGCAGAUCCUCCACUAGGAACGUCUGGAGUGACCUGAUCCACACCAGCAGAUCCUCCACGAGGUACGUCAGGAGGGACCUGAUCCACACCAGCAGAUCCUCCACAAGGUACGUCAGGAGGGACCUGUUCCACACCAGCAGAUCCUCCACGAGGUACAUCUGGAGGGACCUGUUUCACACUGGCAGGUUCCACGUGGAGGACGCUUCCACAGAUGUGCCUGAGUUUUAAUUGAAGUGGGAGCUGGUUUGCCAGCUCCUCAAUAGUGCCUGCAUAGAAAUGUACAGGCACUAUGUACUCAUCCAUAUGGCUAUCCAGGAGGAUGAGCUUGUCGUGCAUCUCUGACACUCCAACGAUCUUUAGAACUGCCUCCUGGAUAUCCCUAUCAAUAAGCUGAAAAACAAAAAAAAUUUUAGAAAAGGUGACUGAGCUCAAUGAUGUCCCCGACAUAGAGCUCGUUAAGUGCUUCUUCCCGCCACAGUGAGACAUCAUGUACUACGGAGCCACAUUUCAUCCGCAGGUCCAGGAUCGGUAUGUGAGUGCGAGUCAUUCUAGGCGCUUCAACCUGGAAAAUGACAAAAAGGUCGUGAAUGAGGACAGAGGGCCUCCCUUGCAGCUCUUUUAGCCUCCUCACUUAUGGCUAGCGGAGCCGUCCUAAAUUUGAUGGUGCCUUUAUUUACAAAUAAACAUCGGCGGCCGUAUUUGUUUGAGAUGGUUACAUUUUUUACAAUAUAUGAGUGUCCCUCUUCAAAUUCAGGGUCACUGCCGUUUUUUAUGGACAGAUAAACUGCAUCACCAUCCGUAAGGGCACAUAAAGAUGUGACUUUGUAGGUGUCAACAAUUAUUUUGUUUUCAUGUUUAAUAAAUGUCAAAGCCUUUUGGCUACUGUGCACUUUAACACAGGUGAUGUGCAGUGGUGGUGGGCGGCUGUACGGUGUUGCCAUCCUAAGAAUAAGAAAAAAAGGUUACUUUGUAUUAGUUGUAAAUAUUAUGUAGAAUAAAUUAUAAUUUCUUUUUAACUCAAUUCAUCAAUUAAACAUAUCAAUCUAAAUCUG
rnacentral:lncRNA from 1 species